GGCCCAAAACUCUUUCUUCAUGCACAAGGGCGUUUGGAUAGAUCAAAGCAACCCGGAUGGGAAUGAAUCGCUCUUCGUUGGGAUAGCCUUAACACAGCGCCCAAACACUUUCUUUCUCUCUCCAUUUUUUUAUUUUUCAUUUUUUAUAAAAAAAAAAAAAGGCCCUUUUACAUUCCACUGCGAAUCGCGAUCUCUCUCCAUAUCUCGCCGGCGCCGAUCUCUAUUAUCGCCUCAGGAUACUGAUUGGAGACAUGGAUGGAGAAGUCCCAAAUAUAAAGAAGUGGAUAGUCUUCUAUCCUGUUUAUAUUAAUUCAAAAAAGACCAUAGCUGAGGGGCGGCGGCUAAGCACCAGUAAAGCAUGUGAAAAUCCAACUUGCGCCGAGAUUGGUGACUGCUGCAGCCAUCUCAAACUCCCAUUUGCAAUUGAGAUUGAUAAGGCAUAUCCACGUGAUUUCAUGCAACGAGGGAGAGUGAGAGUGUUGCUGAAAAAGGAAGAUGGAACUUUAUAUAAUCCUGCCAUUUCUUCCCAUAAGGAUGCUCUUUGUUAUUUUAUCUUAUUUUAUUUUUAAAUUUUUUAACCUUUUUCUUUGUUGCAUGAUUAUAGAACUGUGAUUGUGUUUUUAGGUUAAGUGAUGUCCAAGUUUAUCUCAAGUCUUCUUAGCAUGCAAUUACUUCCCAGAAAAUACAGUGCCUUGUAUUUGUGUCCCCACCAUCAUAAUUUCAUCAUUCAUAUAUUUAUCAAUAUCUUUCCUAGAGUAACUAAAAAUAGAUGGGCCUUGUUGAUGAAUUUGGUAUUUUUUUCUUGAUAGGCAAAAGGAUUAUAUAUAGAAAGUACCAAAGUAAAAGAUGCAACAAAGUCUUAACAUAAUGUAUACAUUUGUCACCAAAAUGCUUUAAUGUCUACAUGUGAUCCUAUGUCGUUUAAAAUUUCAUCAAUUGGUAUCAGAGCUCAUACAUGGAUGACAUUUGAGCUGUAUAUUUGGGUUAUUUUGGGUUUCCCCUUUUUUGGUUUGGAAGCCAUUUUUUGGAGCUUUUUUUUUUUUUUGUUUGGUGUUGAUUCUUGGUUUUCAAACCUGAUUGAUGUUGGAGACUUGUAGAAAAUAUUGUUUGGAGCAAAACCCAUUUUUUUUAUGGUUUUUGGAGCUCAUUUGAUGGAAUUUCGAAAAUUAGGGCUUAUUUUGGUUCUUCCUUUUAUGCGUUUUUUGUGUAAUAUUUGGGUUUAGAUUGAUGAAUUGAUGUUUGAGGAUGGAAACCUAAGUAUUUUCGUCGGAAAAUGCACAAAAUUUUGGCUGAAAAAAAAAAAAUUCUCCAGAAGAACCAGGUCGUGUUCAGCCUGGUGGAGAAGAUGAACAUCAUGACGUCAUAUAUAAAAAUAAAAAAAAUAAAAACUUUUUUUUUUUGUCUCAAUAUUCUUGGAAUUAUUAUGCAUUUGUUAAAUUUGGUUUUAUCGGGACAAUUAUUAUUAUUAGUGCUCUUUAUGGUAUAAUUUUUUAUCUUAUACCAAUAAUGUUGUUUUAGGCCUUUUUUGUUAAAUAUUUAAAUUUAUUAUGGCAAUAAAGAACAUUUGUGUGAUUGCCUAUCGCAAUUCCAAGUAUGUCAAGUUGUGCAAAUUAAAUAUUUGAGUUUAUCAUGACAAUAGUGAACAUAUAUAUGGUUGUCUAUCGUGAUCCUAUAUGUGUCAAAUUGUCUUUGUUGAGAUAUUUUAUCUCCCACUUUUGGUUGUUUUAUUAUUGUGAUUACUAGGGUCCAUACGGGUAUUGUAAUUGUCCUAUCGAUGAUUAUAAUACUUGGUUGGAUGCUUAGAUUGGUGAAGGAAAUUAAUUAUAUAUUAUGAACCGUACGAAUUUUCUAUUGCCUUUUCGGUAAUAAAAUUAGUGCAUCUUGGUUGCGAUAUUUAAUUAGUUAUCCUUACCGUUGUGGAAUUUCAAAAUUCCAAGCUAUUGCUAAAUUGAAAAAUUCUAGAAACUAGCAAAUAAUUUGAUAUUGUAGUAACAUGCAUAUUGUUUAAUUUUGCUAUCUUCCAACUACUAGCAGUCCUGGAAUUACUUUGCAUUUAUCUGCCAUCAAGCCUCUUACUGGAAAUAACUUUGAGGAAUGGUAUGAGUCUUUCAAUGUGCAUAUGACUAUGCACUAUUUAGACUUGGCUUUGAGAGUUGAUGAGCCAAGUAAGCCCACUGAUGUGAGCUCUGCUAAUGAAAGAUCCUUUUAUGAGAGAUGGGAACACUCAAAUAGGAGUUGUUUGAUAGGAUUAUCACCCAAAAUGAUUUUAAAGAGAAUACAGUUGAAUGACAAUAAAUGAAAUGUUUACCUUGAUUAGUGUCAUGGAAAACAUGCAUCUGUCAACUGUAUUCUCUUUAAAACCAUUUUAGGUGAUAAUCCUAUCAAACAACUCCUAUUUGUGUGCUCUCAUCUCUCAUAAAAGGAUUUUUCAUCAGCAGAGCUCACAUCAGUGGGCUUACUUGGCUCAUCAACUCUCAAAGCUAAGUCCAAAUUGUGUAGAGUCAUAUGCACAUUGAAAGACUCAUACCAUUCCUCAAAGUUAUUUCCAAUAAGAGGCUUGAUGACAGAUAAUUGCAAAGUAAUUUCAGGAUUGUUAGUAGUUGGAAAAUAGCAAAAUUAAACAAUAUGCAUGUUACUACAAUAUCAUGCUAUUUGCUAGUUUCUAGAAUUUAGCAAUAGCUUGGAAUUUUGAAAUUCCACAGCGGUAAGGACAACUAAUUAAAUAUUACAACCAAGAUGCACUAAUUUUAUUACUGAAAGGGCAAUAGAAAAUUAGUACUGUUCAUAAUAUACAAUUAAUUUCCUUCACCAAUCUAAGUAUCCUACCUAGUAUUAUAAUCAUUGAUAGGACAAUUACAAUACCCAUAUGGACCUUAGUAAUCACAAUAAUAAAGCAACCAAAAGUGGGAGAUAAAAUAUCUCAACAAAGACAAUUUGACACAUAUAGGAUCACGAUAGGUAACCACAUAUAUGUUCAUUAUUGUCAUGAUAAACUCAAAUAUUUAAUUUGCACAACUUGACACACUUGGAAUUGCGAUAGACAAUCACACAAGUGUCUUUAUUAUCAUAAUAAAUUUAAAUAUUUAACAAAAAAAUGCCUAGGACAACAUUAUUGGUAUAAGAUAAAAAAUUAUAUCAUAAAAUAAUAAUUGUCUCAAUAAAACCAAAUUUGACAAAUGCAUAAUAAUACCAAGACAACCCAAAAAAAAAAGUUUUUUUUUUUUUUUUAUAUAACGUCAUGAUACACUGUUCAUCUUCUCCACCGGGCUGAACACGACCUGGUUUUUCUGGAGAAAAAAAAUUUUCGGCCAAAAUUUUGUGCAUUUUCCGAUGAAAACACCUAGGUUUCCAUCCUCAAACAUCAAUCCUUCAAUCUAAACCCAAAAAAUUACACAUAAAAGGAAGAAUCAAGAUAAGCCCUAAUUUUCUAAAUCCCAUCAAAUGAGCUCCAAAAACCAUUAAAAAAAAAAAGAAAAAAAAAAGGGUUUUGCUCCAAACGAUAUUUUCUACAAGUCUCCAACAUCAAUCAGGCUUGAAAACCGAGAAUCAAUAGCAAACGAAAAAAAAAAUGCCCUAAAAAUGGCUUCCAAACCAAAAAACGGGAAAACCCAAAUAUGCAGCUCAAAUGUCAUCCCUGCAUGCUCUAAUACCAAUUGAUGAAAUUUUAAACGACAUAGGAUCACAUGUAGACAUUAAAGCAUGCAUUAAAUGGCAAUAAAUGAAAUGUUUUAAUACAUGUGAUCCUAUGUCGUUUAAAAUUUCAUCAAUUGGUAUCAGAGCAUGCAUGGAUGACAUUUGGGUUUUCAGUUUUCUGGUUUGGAAGCCAUUUUUUUGGGCUUUUUUUUUUUCAUUUUGUGUUGAUUCUAGGUUUUCAAGCCCGAUUGAUGUUGGAGACUUGUAGAAAAUAUUGUUUGGAGCAAAACCCUGUUUUUUUUUUAGCCCACUCAAAAACAAAUCCCUUCUCUUUUCUCUUGCCUGCCCAUUGGCCUUAUUUGUAUACCCUGUGUAUACUUUGUUGUGCCUUUUGGCAAGUGUUUUUAACAUACCUUGCUCAUUUACCUAUUAAAAAAAACAAAUCCCUCUCCUUAGUUAGAACUAAUGCAAUCUACAAAGCCUAUCAUGGUUAAAGAAUGGUCAUCUAUAUCAGUCUGACCCAAUCCAAAAAAAGAAUUCAUGAAAGAUAGCUUAAUUGCUUGCUUUGUUAUAUACAUUUGAGUUGCUUUUGAUGAUGAUGAGGUGCAAUGGAAUGGCAUUCGCUAUUUUCUAUGCUCCAAUUAUGAAGUUCAUUUUUUAUAUAUAUAAAUAAAGAAGAUUAUAUAUUAAUCAUUAAAAAAGGGCACCAAAAGAGCAACCCAAGGUAUGCAAGAUAAAUACACCCACACCCCCACACAACUCAAACAAAAACGAAGUGGCCCAAAAGGAGGUGCAAAAACAUCCCCACCCUCAACGAGGGCCCAACCAAUCAAAGAAACUAAUUAGCAUCGGAGGACCAUCCUUUACAAACUCCAAUUAUUAUUAUUAUUUUUUUUGAUAAGUAAACAAGAUAUGCAUUAGAAAAGGCUAAACGCCACAAAGCAUACAGGGAGUUUACAAACUCCAAUUAUGAAGUCCAGGUGUAGUCAAUGUCCUAUUUAGCGCUACCAAUGAGUCCAAAUCUGUAUAAACUCCCCCUAAACUUUCCACUAUCAUUGAGUUUCAAAUUUGUGAAAUCUCCUCCUAAGCAUUCAAUGUGGGAAAUUUUCCAGUUAUUGGCUGGCUGGUGUGAGGAGCCACCAGUGUUAUACUUGAUUGUCCCAGCAUCAUAAACCAGUUCUAGAGAUAAGGAAACUGCAUCUAGAUGGGAUCAGUGAUGAUUUUCUUCACCAGUGCAAUUAGAGGAAAAGAGCUGAUGCGUCAUGUUGCUGAGUUGGUACCCAGACAUCCUGGGAGGGUCAAGAAACAGGAGCCUGCAUCAACCUCAAACACUGGAUCUUCCAAAUCUGGGAAGGGUGGAAAAAAGAAGCGGUAGAUGCAGAAUCUAAAGGUCUUGUUCUAUAUUUUCGGUGGAAGCAUGGUUACAUUCUCCUUUUGGUCAUUAAUCCUUUUGUCAAACCUAGGCUCUCUUUUAACUUCUCAUGAGUUGAAAUUCUCUUGAAAAAGUAGUUUCUUUUUUCAUCCCAUAGUGUUGGUUUAAAAUAGAUCAUCCUCAGUGCUUUUUAGAAGUAUCAUUUGGCUUGCAUUGAGUUUCAAAUAUACAAACAUGAAUGUAACUUAUAAUCCACAAUACAUUCACUGGUUUUCAUGCAGUGACUUGUGACUUCCAACAUCUUAAUCACAUAUUCAAGGAUUCAUGACCA